rfam:[Eubacterium] angustum strain DSM 1989 ETAN_contig000001, whole genome shotgun sequence.
AGAACCUUUAAUCUAAUCCAGAGAGGUUAGGAAGGAGCGAAAAUAGUAUAGACAUGUCCAUAUUUGCAAUAAUACUGUGGGUAUAUGAAAUAUGACUAUUGGCCUUCCUAUUGUAUGGAAGGCUUUUUUUGU